GUGAGGUGAAGGGCAGCUCGAGCAGGGCCUGCUGACGGUGCAGAGAAUGAUCGAGAAGCCGCCCUCCUGAGCGCGGAGGCCUGGAGCUUCCUUCUGCGUGGCAGGAGGGCGCUGGCCUGUGGUCCCUCUCAGUGGGGGCGGGAGGAACUGAUCUCUCAGCAUGAAAUGGUCGCCUGGCCUCUGGGAAGGCUCCCAGCAGUCGACGCCCAGGCCAGGCCUGGCCGGCUGCUCCUCCAGCUGCUGCUCCCAGCCGGAGCCAUUUUCCGACCCCAAAGACUUGUCAGCAGGACUAGAAAUGCUUGGACCCUCAAAUGUAACCCCGAAUAUCAGCAGCAGACCCCCCCACCCCUGGGGGAAAAGUCUCCAAUCAGAGAUCCUCUGAGGCGAGCCAAGAGCGGUUUUGGAGGGAGCAGCGCAUAUUUUGAGUUUGGAUGGCAGGUACUUGAGCUUGAACUGCCAACAGAAAACGUCAAGUUAUCAUCAGACGUCUGAUGGCCCUCUCUGAGAGUCCCUUUAGAGCAAAAGGCCCUCCUGCUGGAAGCACCAUCUGUCAGCAUGCUGC
ensembl:lncRNA